rnacentral:rRNA from 1 species
UACGUAGGGAGCAAGCGUUGUCCGGAAUCAUUGGGCGUAAAGCGCGCGCAGGCGGUGCGGUAAGUCCGUCGUGAAAUCUCCCGGCUCAACUGGGAGGGUGCGGUGGAGACUGCCGGACUGGAGGCACUCAGAGGCCGGUGGAAUUCCCGGUGUAGUGGUGAAAUGCGUAGAGAUCGGGAGGAACACCAGUGGCGAAGGCGGCCGGCUGGGGGUGACCUGACGCUGAGGCGCGAAAGCGUGGGGAGCGAACCGG